rnacentral:lncRNA from 1 species
AAUAAGCAAAUUAAAGUCCGAUUGCAGAACAAAUGCUAGCCCCUCCAACUACAACUAACUUAGACAGCUAAAGCAAUCACCAAAGUCUGCUCAACAAAGAUACAAGAAGAUGAAUAGAAAGAGUUGGAAAAAAGAAACAGUUGGUGAAUCAUUCAUUAAUGAGUACGCAAGAAUUCAUCUUCACAAACCAAUAUAUGUACCCUUUUCUACCCUGAAGCGUUUCUGCAGCUUCACAAGAUUCAUAUAUUCUCAUCACCAAGGUAUCUCCUGGCUUUCGGAAUCUUUCUUUUGUCGAUUCCAGCAGAGAAGAAGCUACUGCGCCACCCUUCCACCUCCGGUUCUACCAUAAUUAUAACUGCAACCUCAGCCACUGCCUGGAUCAAACAGUAAUGUAACAGUGAAGCCUUUAGUUAAGCUCACGGUUAGUCAAUUAGUUAGAAUCUGUUAGGCAGAUAAGAGUGAGGUUAGGAAGUUUAAUUUACAGCUAAAGCUUCUUGUAUCAGAUCUAUAAAUACUUGUAACAUUCAUAGAAAUAAAGUGAUUUUCCCUUUGCACAAUUACUCUUCUCCUUGCUUCCUCUCUUAUCAAACAUGGUAUCGAGCUGCUUAUUUUAGAUCCAGACGGUUUUUUUUCCUUCUUCUUCCUUGUGCUUCUCUUGGUUUUUCUGAACUGUGAAUCAUGUCCACCGAUUCUGAUUCACAAAAUUCAUCUUCCUCCACCACAAAUCAUCAUUCUUCAUCCCUAAACCUCACAAAUCUGCCAACCAUGCAUCCAAUAGCUCUCAAAUUGGAUCGCAACAGUUACAAUUUUUGGAAGGUGCAGGUGCUCGCUACUGCCCGAGCGUAUAGCUUCGAAGAUGUUCUUCUUCAAACUGAAGCUCCUAUUGAAUUUCUAGACGAUCGAAUCACUGCAAAUCCAGAGUAUCUCACCUGGCUCCGAAGGGAUCAGUUUCUCUUCAGCUGGAUUCUCGCUUCAAUCACUCCUCAAAUGAUGGGGUACAUUGGUCGCUGCACCACCGCCGCUCAGAUCUGGAAGGCAUUUGAGACACUCUUCCACUCUCAAUCAAAGGCACGAGCUAUGAAACUCAGAAGCCAGCUUCAAUCCACGAAGAAAGGUGCUUCAAAUAUUGAUGACUAUAUUCUGAAGUUCAGAGAAAUUUCGGAUCAGUUGUUCAACAUUGGACAACCAAUCUCAGAAUCCGAUUUGGUUUCCUACAUUCUGCAAGGACUCGGUGCAGAUUUCGAAAGCAUAAGUGUCCUACUCUCUUCUCGGUGUGAUGAAAUGACACUCAUGAAGUGCAAUUUCUCUUCAAACUCAUGAGCUACGUCUCCAAAAUCAAGCCGCUAUCACCACUUCUAUGGCUAAUCUUACAUUUCAGCCGCAAGCAAAUGCUGCCUAUCAAUCUUCAAAUGGCAGUGCUAAUAACCGUGGUCGUGGCAAUGGCCGGUACGGCAGAGGAUCUAGUAAUCGCGGUAGAGGCGGAGGAAGGUAUUCAACAGGCAAUAAGCUUAUUUGCCAAUUGUGUGGUAAGACGAAUCAUGUCGCACUCAAAUGUUUCAAACGCUUUGAUGUGAGCUUCACUGGACCAGAUCCUCCUUCAUCUCCUGCUCCACAAGCGCAUCUUACAAAUCCUGAUACUCCCUCAAACUCUAACUCUGCCUACAAUACUUCAUCUAUUACUACUAACUCUACAUCUCAGUUUCCUCCUGCAGCUUAUACAAACACAACUCACUCCACUCUACCAUCUACUUCUGAAUGGUACCUGGACUCUGGAGCUUCGGCUCAUGUAACUGCAGACAUGGGAAAUAUGCACACUCAAACACCUUAUCAUGGCUCAGAAUCCCUCUCUGUAGGUAAUGGCUCCCAACUCUCUAUAACUCAUACUGGAACAUCAGUUUUACCAUCUAAUCUUCAUCUGAAAAACAUCCUGCUUGUCCCUAACAUCACCAAAAGCUUAAUAAGCAUCUCUAAAAUCACAGCUGAUAACAAUGUGUACAUUGAAUUUCACUCAGAUUUUUGUUUUGUUAAGGACAACACUACUCAUCAGGUUUUACUGGAGGGCAAACUUAAGGAGGGGCUGUAUCACCUAAAUCUCAAAGGUCUUUCUACAAAUUCUUCUUCUACUGAUGAUCUAUAUUCCACUGUACACAAGCCUCAGUCUAUGCAAUGUAGUAUUUCACCUUUAGAUGUAACAACUUGGCAUGCUAGAUUAGGACACCCCUGUCAUGCUGUAUUGCAGUCUACCUUUAAGGCCAUGAAUCUCUCUGUAAAACCAUCUUCAAAUACCUUCUGUAAUUCCUGUGCAAUUGGAAAAAUACAUGCUAUUAGUUUUCCUUCGUUGAAAUCAAAACAAAUGCUCCAUUUCAACUUGUUCAUACAGAUGUUUGGGGACCCAGCCCCACUGUUUCAAAUGAUGGUUUCAAAUAUUAUGUUCAUUUUAUUGAUGACUUUACAAGAUUUACUUGGAUCUUUCCAUUAUCUGCAAAAUCUGAGGUUUUAUCUGUUUUUCAAAAAUUCUAUAAGUUCGUAGAAAGACAGUUUCCUUACAAGUUAAAAGCAAUCCAAUCAAAUUGGGGGGGUGAGUAUAGGCCACUUAAAACCUUCUUAGAUAACUUAGGAAUUCAGUUUAGACAUCCUUGUCCUCACACUCAUCAACAAAAUGGAAAAUCUGAGAGAAAACAUAGACACAUUGUUGAGCUUGGUCUUACUUUGCUUGCUACUGCCUCUCUUCCUCAAUCAUUUUGGUGGGAUGCUUUUACAACUGCAGUAUAUCUUAUAAACCGUUUACCCACUCCAUCUCUAAAAAAUGCAUCUCCAUUUCAAUCCUUGUUUCACAAAGUACCAGAUUAUAGCUUCUUAUAGGUGUUUGGGUGCAGCUGUUUAUCUGAGGCCUUACAAUACAUCUAAACUCCAGUUCAGAUCAUCCCAAUGCUUAUUCUUAGGAUACAACCAUGAUCACAAAGGAUAUAGGUGUCUUCACCCAUCAGGAAGGCUUUAUAUAGCUAGGACUGUUUUGUUUAAUGAACAAGACUUUCCUUAUAUGCGGCUAUUCUCUCCCUCAAGCUCAUCUUCAGCUCAAUCACAUGAAAGCUCCUCCUCAUCUCCUGCACAUAACUGCUCAUGUUUCCAUCAUAUACCUCCAUCCCUCCAGGUUCCUCUAUCUGCUCCACCCCCAAAGCCAUCUUCUUCUUUAUCUCACUCAAACUCUCUCCCUCCAACUUUACAAAUAACUUCUCCCUCUCCAGUUCAGUCUUCCCCAUCUCCUGCACCUCACAAAUCUCCUACACUACUUCCACACUCUCCUUCUCCAGUCACUAUACCACACAAUCAACACCCAAUGACCACUAGAUCAAAAAUAGGUGUGUUUAAACCAAAAGUUUACAUUGCCAUAUCUAGUCUCCCACCAUCUGUACUUCUCACUUCCUCCACCCAUCCAGUAGCUCACAUCACCACAAUGGGAAAUAAAUACACUGAACCUUCCUCUAACUCUGCUGCCCUUGCUGAUCCACUGUGGUACAAGGCUAUGGAGGAUGAAAUUACUGCCAUUCAAGAGAAAGAAACAUGGGAAAUUGUCCCUCCUGCCUCAGGCACAAACCCUAUUGAUUGUAAAUGGGUUUAUCGGGUCAAGCUUCACCCUGAUGACACCCUUGAUAAGCUCAAGGCCAGGCUUGUAGCUAAAGGGUUCCAACAGUUAGCUGGUCUGGACUUUCUUGAGACUUUCAGUCCGGCCAUUAAACCAGUGUUUGUGAGACUUUUAUUCUCUUUAGCUGCCUCAUUUAAUUGGGAUAUACAACAUAUUGAUAUUAAUAACGCAUUUCUCAAUGGUUAUUUGGAUAGACCUGUUUUCAUGAAACAACCCCCAGGUUUUGAACACCCUCAACAUCCUGACUGGGUGUGCAAGCUAAAGAAAUCUCUCUAUGGGCUUAAACAAGCUCCAAGAGCUUGGUAUGAAAGACUUAAAGCUCAUCUCUUCAGGUAUGGUUUCAAACAUUCAGCCUCUGAUCACUCCUUCUUUAUGAGGCAAAGUGGCAGUCUACUGUUGGUACUAGUGUAUGUUGAUGACAUACUUAUCACCGGGGAAGAUCCUCAGCUGGUCUAACAUUUUAUUCAGUCAUUAUCUCAUGAGUUUGCCUUAAAAACUCUAGGCAAUGUCAAGUUUUUUCUUGGUGUAGAAGUCUCCAAAAAGCAGCAUGGCUAUCAUCUAUCUCAGACCAAAUAUAUUCGAGAUUUGCUUACCAAAACAAAUCUUCAAGACAGCAACGCUCAGCCUUCUCCCUAUGAUUCUGGAGUUAAACUACAUCUUAAAGAUAGUCCAGCUUUUUCCAAUCCUACACUUUAUCGAAGCACCAUUGGUGCUCUACAGUGUCUCAAAUCACCAGGCCCGACAUCUCAUUCAUGGUCAACAAGUUGAGCCAAUUUCUCCAAAAUCCAACUGAACUGCAGUGGAAAGCAUGCAAGCGACUGCUCCGGUGUCUAAAAGGUACUCUCACUCACUCUCUUAAGUUCACUGCAUCGCCUUAUCUCACACUAAGUGCCUUCUCGGAUGCCAUUGGGCGGGGUCUAUUGAUGAUCGCAAAUCUACUGGGGGAUACCUGGUUUUCUUGGGUCCAAAUCUACUAUCUUGGAGCUCUAAGAAACAGGGUAUUGUAUCUCGAAGCUCCACUGAAGCAGAGUACCGCUCGCUUGCUGAUACUGCUAUGGAACUCGUAUGGAUAAAGUCUCUUUUAACGGAACUUGGUUAUAAUUUGCCUCAAUCACCUAUAAUUUGGUGUGACAACAGGAGCGCUGCUCCUAUGGCGUCAAACCCGGUGCUUCAUGCACGGACUAAACACAUAGAAAUCGACGUUCACUUUGUUCGUGACAAGAUUAUCAAACAAGAGCUGGAUGUUCAAUACAUCUCCACCACCGAUCAAAUGGCGGAUAUACUUACUAAACCAGUGUCCAUAUCUCGGUUUAAGUUCUUACUUGAUAAACUUCCAUUUGAAAAAGGCUGAAGUUUUGGGUUUUUUGGGACUGUAAUGUAACAGUGAAGCCUUUAGUUAAGCUCACGGUUAGUCAAUUAGUUAGAAUCUGUUAGGCAGAUAAGAGUGAGGUUAGGAAGUUUAAUUUACAGCUAAAGCUUCUUGUAUCAGAUCUAUAAAUACUUGUAACAUUCAUAGAAAUAAAGUGAUUUUCCCUUUGCACAAUUACUCUUCUCCUUGCUUCCUCUCAUAUCAAACA